rnacentral:sRNA from 1 species
AGGACACUGACGACCGAAACAAGAUGUCAGUAGUUACUGAAAGCUCUCGAAAUUACGGUUACAAUCCUUCUCCUGUGAAGCCUGAAGGACUUCGCCGCCCACCUAGUAAGACUAGUAUGCAUCAAAGCCGAAGACUCAUGGCUUCUGCUCAGUCCAACCCUGAUGUAAGUCACCUCAAGCUUAUUCAGAGUCUAAUAAAGGAAAAUGGGCCAUUGUCACCUCAUCAAGUCCUUCACUAUAAUUACUGUUAGGUCUUCUCCUACUUCUUUAGCCUUGACUUCCUGCCUUAUUUUCUUUCAUCCAGCAUCUAAUCUUCCUCUUGCCACCGCCCUUUCCUGCCAAACCGUGGGUAACAGCAAGGACUUAAAGGAGCCCUUCCCAUUUACUUCUCUUACUUCUUACCCUCCUGCUUCCCCAGGAUGUCCUGACACUGUCCAGCAGCACAGAAAGUGAGGGGGAAAGUGGGACCAGCCGAAAGCCCACUGCUGGUCAGACUUCGGCUACAGCGGUUGACAGUGAUGAUAUCC